rnacentral:rRNA from 1 species
CCUACGGGUGACAGCAGUCGAGAAUCAUUCACAAUGGGGGAAACCCUGAUGGUGCGACGCCGCGUGGGAGAAUGAAGGUCUUCGGAUUGUAAACCCCUGUCAUGUGGGAGCAAAUUAAAAAGAUAGUACCACAAGAGGAAGAGACGGCUAACUCUGGGCCAGCAGCCGCGGGAAUACAGAGGUCUCAAGCGUUGUUCGGAAUCACUGGGCGUAAAGCGUGCGUAGGCUGUUUCGUAAGUCGUGUGUGAAAGGCGCGGGCUCAACCCGCGGACGGCACAUGAUACUGCGAGACUAGGGUAAGGGAGUGGGAACCGGAAUUCUCGGUGUAGCAGUGAAAUGCGUAGAUAUCGAGAGGAACACUCGUGGCGAAGGCGGGUUCCUGGACAUUACCUGACGCUGAGGCACGAAGGCCAGGGGAGCGAAAGGGAUUAGAUACCCUAGUAGUC